AUCAUGGCUCAGGGAUGAACGCUGGCGGCGUUGCUUAACACAUGCAAGUCGAACGAAGCACUUUUACAGAUUCUUCGGAAUGAAGUUUAGUGACUGAGUGGCGACGGGUGAGUAACGCGUGGGUAACCUGCCUCACACAGGGGGAUAACAGUUGGAAACGGCUGCUAAUACCGCAUAAGCGCACAGUACCGCAUGGUACAGUGUGAAAAACUCCGGUGGUGUGAGAUGGACCCGCGUCUGAUUAGCUAGUUGGCAGGGCAACGGCCUACCAAGGCGACGAUCAGUAGCCGACCUGAGAGGGUGACCGGCCACAUUGGGACUGAGACACGGCCCAAAACUCCUACGGGAGGCAGCAGUGGGGAAUAUUGCACGAAUGGGGGAAACCCUGAUGCAGCGACGCCGCGUGAGCGAAGAAGUAUUUCGGUAUGUAAAGUCUCGUAUCAGCAGGGAAGAAGAAAUGACGGUACCUGACUAAGAAGCACCGGCUAAAUACGUG
rnacentral:rRNA from 1 species